rnacentral:rRNA from 1 species
UAAGCGAUGGAGAGACGCAGGAAGGUAGCCGAACCGCGGCGAUGGUAGACCGCGGGUAAGGAUGUAGGGCGAGGUGUAGGCAAAUCCGCACCUCAUGUGCCUGAGAUCUGACACGGACCCGUACAGGGGAAGUCGGUGAUCCUAUGCUGCCAAGAAAAUCUUCUAGCGAGGUUCGAGCCGCCCGUACCCCAAACCGACUCAGGUGGUUAGGUAGAGAAUACCAAGGCGAUCGAGUGAAUCGUGGUUAAGGAAUUCGGCAAAAUACCCCCGUAACUUCGGGAGAAGGGGGGCCCAGAGGGUGACGGGACUUGCUCCCCGAGCCUGAACGGCCGCAGAGACCAGGGAGAAGCGACUGUUUACUAAAAACACAGGUCCGUGCCAAGUCGCAAGACGAUGUAUACGGACUGACGCCUGCCCGGUGCUGGAACGUUAAGGGGACCGGUUAGCCUCACGGCGAAGCUGAGAACUUAAGCGCCAGUAAACGGCGGUGGUAACUAUAACCAUCCUAAGGUAGCGAAAUUCCUUGUCGGGUAAGUUCCGACCUGCACGAAUGGCGUAACGAUUUCUCCACUGUCUCAACCACGAACUCGGCGAAAUUGCACUACGAGUAAAGAUGCUCGUUACGCGCAGAAGGACGGAAAGACCCCGGGACCUUUACUACAGCUUGGUAUUGGUGUUCGGUACGGCUUGUGUAGGAUAGGUGGGAGACUGAGAAGCUGACACGCCAGUGUCGGUGGAGUCAACGUUGAAAUACCACUCUGGUCGUUCUGGAUAUCUAACCUAGGUCCGUGAUCCGGAUCAGGGACAGUGCCUGGUGGGUAGUUUAACUGGGGCGGUUGCCUCCUAAAAGGUAACGGAGGCGCCCAAAGGUUCCCUCAGCCUGGUUGGCAAUCAGGUUUUGAGUGUAAGUGCACAAGGGAGCUUGACUGUGAGACUGACAAGUCGAACAGGGACGAAAGUCGGGACUAGUGAUCCGGCGGUGGCUUGUGGAAGCGCCGUCGCUCAACGGAUAAAAGGUACCCCGGGGAUAACAGGCUGAUCUUGCCCAAGAGUCCAUAUCGACGGCAUGGUUUGGCACCUCGAUGUCGGCUCGUCGCAUCCUGGGGCUGGAGUAGGUCCCAAGGGUUGGGCUGUUCGCCCAUUAAAGCGGUACGCGAGCUGGGUUUAGAACGUCGUGAGACAGUUCGGUCCCUAUCCUCUGCGCGCGCAGGAAACUUGAGAAGGGCUGUCCCUAGUACGAGAGGACCGGGAUGGACGAACCUCUGGUGUGUCAGUUGUUCUGCCAAGAGCACCGCUGAUUAGCUACGUUCGGGAGUGAUAACCGCUGAAAGCAUCUAAGCGGGAAGCAUGCUUCAAGAUGAGGUUCCCAUGGGGUUUACCCCGAGAGGCUCCCAGCUAGACUACUGGGUUGAUAGGCCGGAUGUGGAAGUGCGGUAACGCAUGGAGCUGACCGGUACUAAUAAGCCGAUAACUUGAGUAA